AGACAAAAUUGACUUUUGUGAGACAAUAUUCAAUUUUGUCAAUUUUGUCACACAAAAGUCAAUUUUGUCUCACAAAAGUCAAUUUUGUCUCACACAAUU
rnacentral:sRNA from 1 species